UCGAGAAUUUUUCUCAAUGGGGGAAACCCUGAAGGAGCGACGCCGCGUGGAGGAUGAAGGUUUUCGGAUCGUAAACUCCUGUCAUUGGGGAACAAUUGUGCGGAUUUAACUGAUCUGCAUUUGAUAGUACCCGAAGAGGAAGAGACGGCUAACUCUGUGCCAGCAGCCGCGGUAAUACAGAGGUCUCAAGCGUUGUUCGGAUUCAUUGGGCGUAAAGGGUGCGUAGGCGGUAGGAUAAGUUGGAUGUGAAAUCCUGGGGCUCAACCCCGGAACUGCAUUCAAUACUGUUUUACUAGAGUACUGGAGAGGAGAUUGGAAUUCACGGUGUAGCAGUGAAAUGCGUAGAUAUCGUGAGGAAGACCAGUGGCGAAGGCGAAUCUCUGGACAGUUACUGACGCUGAGGCACGAAGGCUAGGGGAGCAAACG
rnacentral:rRNA from 1 species